rnacentral:misc_RNA from 1 species
GAUGAAGAACGCAGCGAAAUGCGAUAAGUAAUGUGAAUUGCAGAAUUCAGUGAAUCAUCGAAUCUUUGAACGCACAUUGCGCCCUCUGGUAUUCCGGGGGGCAUGUCUGUUCGAGCGUCAUUACAACCCUCAAGCUCAGCUUGGUGUUGGGCCCCGCCGCCCCGGCGGGCCCUAAAGUCAGUGGCGGUGCCGUCCGGCUCCGAGCGUAGUAAUUCUUCUCGCUCUGGAGGUCCGGUCGUGUGCUCGCCAGCAACCCCCAAUUUUUUUCAGGUUGACCUCGGAUCAGGUAGGGAUACCCGCUGAACUUAAGCAUAUCAAUAAGCGGAGGA